GAUAUUCCAGGCUCAGGGCAGCUAUAGUUUCCUGGUCUGUGGCGUGAUCUUUGGUUGCUUGGCUUUUACCUUCUAUAUCUUGCUCCUGUUUUUCCACAGGAUGCACCCUGGACUCUCAUCAGCCCCUCCCCAGGACAAACCACUUGGAAUGGAAAGCCUGGAGCGCUACCAGAGGUAAAACUAGGUGAAAGAGGCAGGCGAAGACUUCUGGCCCCUCGAACAAAGGGCUGAAGAAGGCUGGGGUAGCAGCAGAGGCAACCUCUCAAUGCCUCGGUUCUGAUCUUCACUGACACUUGGUUGGGUAGAAGAAAUUAAAUUGAGUUCUGGUACCUGGGUCCUCCCUGGGUAAAUCAUUAGAAGCUGACCUGGCUAUCCAAGCGACCACCCCCUUCCCUGGCUCAGACUUUUGGUAAGAGCGGGCCGGGAUACCCACCGGGAGGGAAGAACAUGGCUAGAUGCUUCCCUCCAUUGGCUGCCUCCUGCAUGGACCACACCCUGGGUUUGAAGAUCACUCUUAGUUGAAGUUUGACAAAAUAAGUUGAAAUUAUAAAGAGCUAUCUGUAGAUAAAUUUUAAGUUAAUCAAGACAAACCCGAAGUUAUUCCCUGGCAUGCUCAAAGGAUUUGUGUGCUUUUACUUAUUAAUAGGCCAAAGUCCCUCCAAUUCCUGCAGCUGCUAUCAGGAGUUCAUCUAUAAUCUAAAACAUGGGCAGGAAAAGUUGCAUCUUGCUACCUUUGUGACAUUAAUUUGGUGGUAUGCUGGGCUAGUGCAUUCCAGCUUAUAAAAGCCAAUUGUUACACUUGCAUUUUGAGAGCUGGUUGUUAGACACAGCCGUUAUUUAACAUUAAAUCCUAGAAAUGAUUAUCUUCGUUUUUAGUGGAAUUUAACUACAACUCCUCAAAACUCACCACUCCCUAAUUGUUUUUAAACCUAUGCUCUUGAGGGUAUGUGUUGUAUCUGCAGGGUAGACAUAAACCAUGUAAAGGUGGGCUUCUGUGUGUGUCUUUCCAACUCCACUUUCAGCGUUGUUAGCGGCUUGAGAUCAGCCAUGGUGGGGGUAUUUACACCAUAGAAAUUGGCAAAAGCUAUAACCAGUGGCUCUAUUGUCCCCCUGGAGAGCCAUUUGAUAAAGAUACACCAGCAUACCACUGCUAGCUAUUCAUGCUAAUGGGUCCAGAAGAUGCCUGGGAGGAUGGAAUGGAUGUUCGGCUUUCCUUACUGCCUAUGUAAAAGGUAUAGAAAUAGCAUGAUGACUUUCUCAAAGAUAUCUUACUUUACAUCUUCUAUGGGGCGGGGGGAACUAUUUAUAUAUUCCAUGUCAAAGUUCUUUAUAACACAAAGCUGGACUACUGAACAAUUCAGGCUGUGCGGUAUACUGAAAGCUAUGUCUGUCCAGGAGUGUCACUUUCUGUCCAGGUCAGAUCUGGCAGUAAGACGGAGAGAGCAGGCAAACUCAGCAGCUUGGCGGGGUAAGAGUGCCGAGACUCCUGUAAGUAGUGAAACGGCUGUUGACAGCAGCUUGUGUAUUCGUUUACCUGCACUUUGUGUAAAUACAUGUAUAAAUAUCCAAAACAAGUGGACCAUGGUUCUCAGUAGCCUGUCCAAAUGGUGUGUUUCACAGGCCCUGUACUAAAAGGUUUAUCCUGGAACUGCAGGCAUCGUCUUAUAAGCCAGCUCCACCUGCCAUCGUCAUGGUACAGAGACGAGACUGGCCCUAGAGAGAUCUGGUUCAAGCAACUUUUAGUUGUGUGGCCCUGGACAGAUCACUGAGGCUCUUCCAGCCUUGCUUCUUUUUGUUUUUAAUCUGUAAAGAGACAUUUCUAAAAGAAACUUGCCCUACCUCAAAGGAAUUCUGAAAGAAUUAAGUGACUUUGUGUAAAGGGAUUAUUAUAUGCCUGACAUAGAAAUUUGCUUAACAACUGCUAGCCAUUUUUAUAACAUCCCCAUAGCAGCUUGGAGAUCGUUCAUAUGUUUGGUACGUAUUUAUUGUAAAUCCAACAGAUCCAAAUGCUUUUGAAAGCUGGUGGUCUAGGCAGCUUGGCGCGGUAAGAGUGCUGAGUUUUAACUAUGUCUGUAAAUACCUAAAAGUAUUAGAUGGCCGCCAAAAUUACAUGUGCAUUCUAACCAUAGCGAGUAACUAACCUGGGGGAAUAGAAAGCAACUAUAUUUUUCUUGUGGUUUUUCAAGAAAACAUCCUUUUUAUACAGUUAGAAGAAUCAAUGGCUCUAUCUAAGGCGGUCAUGAUUAAUUUGUGACUAUAGAAAACAAGAUGGAAACAGAUCUAAGAGUACCUUUCCUAAAAUAAAAUAUUUUAAAUUGAAUAAGCGUGUUCUCCAUUCUAAAGGACACGGAACCUUUUAUAUAAGCUCAGAAACAAAUGACCAGGUGUUCCCUGAAUACAGACCAUUCUCAUCCUAUAGCUUCAUGUGGCUGAUGUUUUAGAAGAAACAAAACUCCCAGAGAUGAUUGAGAACCACUCUUCCCUCUUACAUAUAAUCAAAAUAAGGGAAGGCAGCUAGGUUUUACACCAGGCUUCAAUAGCAGUUACACAGCAAGGAGGGCUUUUUUCCUGAUCUCCUUCUUGGAGUCGCCCUGUUCCCAGAUUUCCCUAGGAAAUCAGCACACCUGAUUCACAAAAGGAAGACACAGUGACCUAGAAAUCUUUUAGAAAAUUCAUUUUUUUUACAACAAUUUUCAUUUUUUCCAUUAUAGCUGGUUUACAGUGUUCUCUCAAUUUGCUACUGAACACAGGUGACCCAGUUACACAUACACACUCUUUUUUCUCACAUUAUCAUGCUCCAUCAUAAGUGACUAGACAUAGUUCCCAGUGCUAUAUGGCAGGAUCUCAUUGCUUAUCCAUUCCAAAGGCAAUAGUUUGCAUCUAUUAACCCCAAAUUCCCAAUCCAUCCCACUCCCUCCCCCUUGGCAACCACAAGUCUGUUCUCCAUGUCCAUGAUUCUUUUCUGUGGAAAGGUUCAUUUGUGCCAUAUAUUAGAUUCCAGAUAUAAGUGAUAUCAUAUGGUAUUUGUCUUUCUUUCUGACUUACUUCACUCAGUAUGAGAGACUCUAGUUGCAUCCAUGUUGCUGCAAAUGGCAUUUUGUUCUUUUUUAUGGCUGAGUAGUAUUCUACUGUGCGUAUAUAUACCACAUCUUCCUAAUCCAAUCAUCUGUCGAUGGACAUUUGGGUUGUUUCCAUGUCUUGGCUGUUGUGAAUAGUGCUGCAAUGAACAUGUGGGUGCAUGUGUCUUUUUCAAGGAAAGUUUUGUCUGGAUAUAUAUAUGCCCAAGAGUGGGAUUGCUGUGUCAUAUAAUAGUUCUAUAUAUAAUUUUCUAAGGCACCUCCAUACUGUUUUCCAUAGUGAUUGUACAAAUUUACAUUCCCAACAGUGCAUUUAUUCAUUUAAAAAACUUACUGACCACCUGCUGGGUUUAAGGUGCCGAUCUAGGGGAAGAUACAGCAGAGAAUGGGAUAGAAGUCCCAGCCUCACAAAGACAGGAAACAGGUAACAUGUCACAGGGUGAGUGAGAAGAGUAACGUAAGGAAAGUUCAAAGCAGGAAAGGGGGCUUGGGAAGAGGGAUGUCAAGAGAUGCUCUGAAAGGCCUUUCUAAAGAUGUACCCUUUGUGCAGAAACUGAAAUGAGAGGCGAGAGCAAGCAUUGAAGGACCUAUCAUCCUUGGACCUCCAGUCAGCACCUACCGCAACACCCAAGGAGAUCCUCUCAGGCAGGGGACACAAGUGAGAGGGCCUUUCGCUGAAUAUGCUUAUGGUAUCUGAGGAACAGUGAGCAGGCUGGUGUGGCUAAGUGCAGUCAGGAAGGGGAAGGGUGGCAGGAAAUAGGUUGGAGUGGCAGCUGGGGGCAGAUCAUAUCAGCCAUGGUAGGAAUAUGGAUUUUUUUUUGUUAUGGGAGGUUGUUGGGAGAGUUGUGGGCAAGCAAGGGACACAAGCUGCUUUACAAGUAAUACUUUGGUGGUUGUGUGAAGAAGAGACUAGGGGGGUGGGGUCAAAGAUGAAACCAGGGACACCAGAAAGGGUACAGUUGCAAUAAACUAAGAGAUGAUGGUGGCUUGGACAACGUUGAUAAAAUCAGUAGUGAAAGUGGGUUAAAGUAUAUUUGGAAGUCAAAAGUGACAAUUUGCUGAUAGAUUAGGUGUAGGACAUGAGAUGGGCCUCAAGGAUAACCCCAAGGCAUUUGACUUGGGUAAUGGGUAUGUGAUAAGGUCAUUUAACACUGGACGGCAGAGGUCACUCAAAAGUUGUCUCAGGACAUGUUCAUUUUACGAUACUCUCUUGGCUGUCAGGAAGGCUGAUAGAGGGAGUUCUCUUUGUGGUACAGCAGGUUAAGGAUCCAGUUUGUCACUGCAGUGGCUUGGGUUGGUGCUGUGGCGCAGGUUUGAUCCCUGGCCCAGGAACGUCUACAUGCCACGGGCACAGCCAAGGAAGCAAAAAAAAAAAACGGCGGCUGAUAGAUAUAACAUCUAGAGCUUCAAAGAAGAGUCAAGCCUAAAGAUACAAAUUUCAUGGUCACCUACUUUAGAGUGUUUAAAGCUGUGGGAAUGAAUGAGAUGAUCUAGGGAGCAACUGUAGAGAGAAACUGCAGAUUGAACCUUGGGGUUCUGCAAGACUGCGAAAAAACAGGAUCCAGCAGAUCGAAAGAGAGAAGCACUCAGAGAUGCGGGAGGAAGUUCAGGAGAGAAUGUGGUUUCCUGGAAGGCACGUGAAGACUAUCUUAAGAAGGAGGAAGUAAUCAGCGCUACCACAAGGUCCCCUGUGGAUGGAGCAUCUGCCAAUGAAUGGGUUUGGCAAUAUGAAGGUGACCUUGACUGGAGAGGGGUUUCUAUCAAAGGAUGCUGAAUUCAAAACACAUGACACUCCUAAAAAUCAAUUUGAUGUCCCAGCAACCUCCUUGACACCAAUGCUUGCCACCUAACUUGCACACCUGUUAGAAGUGAUUGUUCCUGGAGUUCCCUGGUGGCUCAGCAGGUUAAGGUAUCCGGCAUUGUCACUGCUGUGAUGUGGGUGCAAUCCCUGGCCAGGGAACUGAAGUUCUGUAUGCUAUGGAUGCAGCCAAAAAAAAAAAAAAAAAAGAAAAAGAAAAAUUAUUGUUCCUGUUUCAUUCUUCAGUAUAUAAUGUCUGCUUAUUGUAGAGUUAUUCCAAAGGAAGGCAACUUCAUGGACUCCCUUCAGUUACGGGGUCUAUCCAACAAGCACAGUGCUUUGCGGCGACAAUGUGAAAUCUUAUAACCGUUAAUGAUUAUCUCCUACCUAAUAACGCCAGCCCUGGAAAACUACCCAAUAUUAGGAGUGAGUGUAUCAUGACAUGCGUCUAUGAAACACCAAGUAAUUGCAAAAUAGACAUUAUACUUCUCCAAAGAGGAUGGGUCAAUGGUCAGAGGUAAGAGGUGGAUGAAACAGGCUUUGUAAACGAAAAGACUUAGAGCUUUUGAUGGUCUAAUACGUGUUCUGACUCUCCAGGAGGUAGAGACCCCAUUUCCCAAACUUAUUUGCCCUCAUGGGACUACUGUUCUAGUUAAUACCUUUAAUUACAUUGGUGUAGGAGAAUCCUCACAAGUGGUAAUCACCCAACUGUGCUGAGCAUGGCCUUACCAUCCAAAGGGGCAUCUCACCAGGGCGAGUAGACUGCUGUCCACCGCAGAACAGUCUACCACUCUAACUUAUUUUCACCUAGAUAUGAAGCAGACCACGGAUUUUGCCACUGUUUUUUUGUCUUUUAGGGCCAAACCUGUGGCAUAUGGAGGUUCCCAGGCUAGGGGUCUAAUCAGAGCUGUAGCUGCCAGCCACAGCCACAGCCACAUGAGAUCCGAGCCUCGUCUGUGACCUACACCACAGCUCACAGCAACGCUGGAUCUCUAACCCACUGAGCAAGGCCAGGGAUCGAACACGCGUCCUCUGGAUGCUAGUGGGGUUCAUUCACCACUGAGCCAUCAUGGGAACUCUGGAUUUUGCCACCUCUUAACCCAACUUGUCCCUGUGCAUAUUUUAUCAGCCCAGUUCUGAAAAGGCCUACCUUUGCUAAGUGAGUAGAAGUCUCCAGUUUCUAAUCUCAAAAAAUACAUGAAGAAACAGGGCCUGGAGCAGAAAUAAGCCACGGUUGCUGCUUACAAAGGGCUGAAACAAAAGAAUUAAAACUUUGAAGCCUUUAUAAAAAUGUAAAUCAAUUUUAUAAGUAAAAUAAAGAUUUCACAUGGCAAAUCA
rnacentral:lncRNA from 1 species